CGUAGGAGCUGCCGAAGGCUGCGAUCUUUUGAUCUUGAUCUUAAAAAAUCAAAAGAUCGCAGCCUUCGGCAGCUCCUACA
rnacentral:misc_RNA from 1 species